rnacentral:rRNA from 1 species
UACGAAGGUGGCAAGCGUUACUCGGAAUUACUAGGCGUAAAGGGCAGGUAGGUGGUUUGGUAAGUCUGUUGUGGAAGCUCUCGGCUUAACUGAGAGAGGUCAACAGAAACUGCCAGGCUUGAGUAUGGGAGAGGGUACUGGAAUUCCCGGUGUAGCGGUGAAAUGCGCAGAGAUCGGGAGGAACACCGAUGGCGAAAGCAGGUACCUGGACCAUUACUGACACUAAACUGCGAAAGCUAGGGGAGCAAACAGG